UAAUUCAGCGGGAACAGCUAACCAAUUGCUGAAUCCAAGAGGCGUAUCCGUCCCUAUUUAUUAUACUAUUUUCUUUCCAGGCACGGUCGUCUCUCUGUCGCAGAAUUUCUGUCCUCGAUUAAGGAACAAGGGAUCGGAAACUACCAGCAACAAUGUCGAAGGAGGCCCCACGUGAACCCGAACAGCUCCGCAAGCUGUUCAUCGGAGGUCUGAGCUUCGAAACCACGGAUGAGAGUUUGCGAGCACACUUCGAACAAUGGGGAUCUCUUACAGAUUGUGUGGUAAUGAGAGAUCCAGCCAACAAGCGCUCCAGGGGGUUUGGAUUUGUCACCUAUGCUGGUGUGAAUGAGGUUGAUGCUGCCAUGGAAGCACGUCCCCACAAGGUUGAUGGUAGGCUCGUAGAGCCGAAGAGGGCGGUGUCCAGAGAGGACUCCAGCCGACCCGGUGCUCAUGUCACAGUGAAAAAAAUAUUUGUUGGGGGUAUCAAGGAAGACACAGAAGACUCCCACCUGCGAGACUACUUUGAGCAAUUUGGCAAGAUUGAAGUAAUUGACAUUAUGACUGACCGCAACAGUGGCAAGAAGAGGGGAUUUGCCUUUGUCACGUUUGAUGACCAUGAUGCAGUGGACAGGAUUGUUAUUCAGAAGUACCACACACUGAACGGUCACAAUUGCGAAGUGAGGAAAGCCUUGUCCAGACAGGAGAUGCAGACUACAGGAAUGGGCCGUGGUGGUGGUGGUGGCGGCGGUGGCAACUAUGGCAGAGGUGGGGGAUACGGAGGUAAUGACUUUGGCUGUGAUGGAUACUUCAGUGGCCAGGGUGAUGCUGACUCGUCUGUUUCAGGCGGCAGAGGGGGUGGAUAUGGAGGGGGAGAUGGUGGUUACAACAAUGGUUAUGGGGGAGGAGAUGGUGGCUAUGGAGGAGGACCCGGUGGUUAUGGUGGUGGUGGUGGUGGUAACCGUGGCUACGGUGGAGGACAAGGAGGUUAUGGCGGAGGACAGGGUGGGGGCUACGGUGGCGGAAAUGGUUAUAACGACUACAACAAUGGCAAUGGCAACGGCGGGAACUUUGGCGGCGGUAAGUCCAUGGCUUCACCACAAGAGGCAGCACCAGUUGCUGGUAAGUGGAUGGCUUCAUAGGCUGUGAUCAAAUUCUCACACUACAUUCUGUUUGGUUAAAGUAUUGAUCUACCUAUACUUCCCUUCUAAAUGGCAUGUAGUAAGCAUAAAUUGUUACCAUAUUAAACCUGUGAUUUCGCAUACAAAACCUUAGAGGCAUAGGCAGGUAGCCUAGCGGUUAAGAGCGUUGGGCCAGAAACUGAAAUGGCCUACUAAAUAAGAAGUAGUAUGAGAACUCGGUCAUAGCUGACUUGAUGAAAGUGAUGCAUGAAAUACUCUAUCCGAGCUGUACACAAAUGAUUGGGAAUAUCCUUGAGCCUGUGUAAAAUGGCCAGACUAAUCUUCACUAAUUAAUGUGACUUUUUAAAUUGUGUGCAGGUAACUUUGGCGGUGGUGGUGGAAAUGGUGGCGGAAAUGGCUACAAUGACUUUGGCAGCUACAACAACCAGGCUUCCAACUACGGCCCGAUGAAGGGUAACAACUUUGGUGGUGGCAGCGGCGGUGGUGGUGGUGGCAGCGGCGGUGGUGGCAGUGGCGGGGGUAGCGGCGGUGGCAGGAACAGUGGCCCAUAUGGUGGUGGUUAUGGAGGUAGCUCAGGUGGGGGGGGCGGCGGUGGUGGAUAUGGUGGGGGCUCCGGUGGACGACGGUUCUAAAUGUUCAGAAGGACUCAGUACUUAGGAGAGGAGAGCGAGACAAGUGACAGGGCAGCUGCAGGUUUACAACCUAGAUCUGCUCAGCCAAACAGAUGUGGCAGGUUACAUCUGCUACAAGAAGAGAUGUGUACAAUAGAGAAAUCAUGGAGGGGCUUCAUUCGUUUUUCUGUGUUGUCAAACAGGAUUAUUUGAUGUUUCUGGAAAGCAAGCAUUCCAAUGAGGUUUUAUGUAGUUUUUCUUUGAGUCGUUUUUAUUUUUGUGUAACUGCAACCAAUCAAGUUGAAAUAAACCACCUUUCAGUUUUUUUUAAACUGUC